AUCCAGCUGACAAAUCCCAAAUAGGACGAAACGCGCAUCCUGGAU
rnacentral:hammerhead_ribozyme from 1 species